UUUCAUUUAAGAAUCAAAUAAUAAUAAUUUAAUAAAAUUGGUGAUACAAUAAGCAAAUUAUAACUAAGGAAAUAUAAUGAACUUAAAGAUUAAAGCCCAAUAAGAUAAUCUAAAAAUGGUGUCGUUCAUGGAACGGGCGUCCCGGGGGUGCUAAUCCUUCCCUGGGCGUAACCGUACUCCCAAACCUAGAUCUAGAAAAAUGUAGACCAGUUUAAGAUUCUCUCGGCGGGCUUAAAAUUAAUUUAAGACUUCGUCAAUUAGAAUCGAGUCAAUAGGUAGCCAAUCACACCUAGAAAAAAGAUUGGUGGUGACUCCUAAUGUGUUUUCAUCACGUCUGGCAGUCGGGUUCUCAGACCCGUACGUUACGACAAAUAUUAUUCUUGUGCUAAGCCAAAAGGGUAUUUUAUUCCAUGAGAUAUAUAAUUACUUUGAAACCAGCAAAAGCUAAUUGCCAUGUAAGAACAGAGAAAACACCAAAGUUGCCAUGGCAACCUAAAAUCUAAGAACACAUGCAACUGCGAAAACUUACCCCAUAGGAGAAACUCUUCAGCUCUCUAGCCAACAUAUCUCUAAAUUUUUCCACAACUAAUUCUUCAUCACAAUUUUCAGUAAGACCCAAUUCCACCCCGAAUGCCGAUUGGAACCUCGCAAGGCUUAGCAUCAGCUUCCGCACCUCCCUGGUGAGCGACAAUUAUUAAAUCUCGCAUUUCAAGAAAUCAUAAGUUGUUUCCAAAUCAAAAUAAUAAAAUAUUAUUUUUUUGCUCACAAGGACAUUUUCAUUAUUUUUCUUUGAAAAUACAGAAACCCACCAAAAACAUGGUGUAAAAGCUAAAUAUGUUCAUACAUACUUUAAAUCAGAUAAUUGAAGUAUAAAAUUACUUUUACAGUGACACGUGGGCCCCCAACUGACCAAGAAGGUGUAGGGCUACGAACCCUUACUUUCUAGGAUGUAACUCCGAGAUUAAUUCUCGUCUUAAUCAACUAUCAACAAACUGUCCUGAGUCUGAAAAAUAGAUAGGAAGAGGGGUGAGAUUACAUAAUCCCAGUGAGUAAACAAACACCACCUAAACUAUCUAAAGGCGAGUAAAUGGAGACAAUUAAAAAAAUUCAUUUCAGCAAAUUUUUCACAACACGAAUAUUCAUUUCAACCAAAUAAUCAAUAUGACUCGUGAAUUUCUCAAAACUUGGCUCAUGCCAAAUCCUGUACUCGGGGACACCUGGACCAAGGGUAUCCAACCGAGUCUGCCAAGGCUGUGAAAAAUUUUAUAUAAUCAUAGAACUUGUUUUUAUUUUGAAAAAAAAGCAGUAGUUCCUUGGCGUUGACUGAGUCUCACUUCACGUGGUGGUUAACGUAAAGUACACUUAAAAAGCCCACCUCAGGAGAUACCCUACGCGCCUCUACUAUCGAAGUGAGAAUAUAAAGGAGUUUACCGUGCCCCUUUAAUAGGUUGGUCCACGAAACCCCGCCACUGUAGUAGCUAAUCUUUAAUCCACCAAUUGAUCAAAUCUCAAUGGCAUAGCAUGGCAAUUACAUUACUAAUCAAUUUAUCAAGGCAAAAUAGACAGUUCAUAUUUUUCAACACAAGUAUAAAUUCAAUCAAUCAUGCCAAUUUAUCACAAGCCAUUUAAUUCAAAUCAUAAUUUACAAUAAAUCACAUCAUCUCCAAUUACUCAAAUUUUCAAAUCCAACAUUCUAUUUUCAAAUCAAUUUAUAAGAAAUUUAAUUUAUUUUAUAAUUCCAUUUAUUUUAUAAUUCCAUUUAUUUUAUAAAUUCAUAUUUUUCUCAUAAAACAAAAAAUUCAUCAUUUAAAAUAAUUUUCACAAAUCACAAAAUUGAAUAAAAACUACUCUAGAUAAUUUAGAUGAUAAUAGGUUUACUCACAGUUCUAGGAGUCGAUGUAUUUCUAAUCUCAAUCUUCAAGCACAAUCUUUGUACUUUUAUCAGUGUAAUUUACUCACCACCUAUCCACAAUGUACAAUACAUAACUCACCACAUUAAUGCUUGACCAUUAUAAAAUCAAUUCAAGCUCGGCGUAUAUGCAUGAUAUGAUAUGUAACUUAUCCGACUACCGCUUAAAUGCGGUGCUGACCUAAUUUGACCUAUUACCCUAUUAAAUGACAAUUGUGUCCGAUUUGGCUCCAAAUUGCUCCAUUUCAUUUCUAGUACCUCAAUUCACCAAACAUUAUUCAAAUAACACCAAUUUCAGAAUCAAAACCCUUCCAUUUCUUCAUGGAAAAAUUUGGUCAUUACAGUACACUAACACCGUGAUUUUUCCUACUUAAUUUUCUCACCAUUAUUCAUCAUUUUCUAAGCCAUUUCUCUUGAAAUAAUAACAAUCCAUCGCCCACACACAUCAAGGAAGAUUCGACCAAUGAAGAUUCAUGGGGAAAAUGGAUUCUUUUCUUGUUGUUUUACUUCUAAAUAUGCUAAACUAACUAAAAACACUAACAUAUCUUAAAAUCAAUUCAAUCCAACAUCUUUCUCUCUCCUUACCCAUUUUGACCAGUCAUGAAUUCAUCAUGAAAACAUGUAAUUUAACCAUGAAAAUUAAGGGAAAAUGCAUGGGUAAGAUAAAUCACUAGCAAAAUCAAAGAAAUUUUACCUUUGCUUGAUCAAAUCCUUGAAUUCCAACACUUUCUCUUUGAUUUUUCCCACCUAGGGUUUGUUCUUCCUUGGUUUCUCUUCUCUUCUGGUUUGGC
rnacentral:lncRNA from 1 species